AUGAAAUUUAAGGGGUGCCCCAACCGGAGCUGAGAUUAUACCCAAUGAACCUGGAACAGGUAAUGCUGUUUAGGGAACUUAAAAAUGAGCAAUGA
rnacentral:ncRNA from 1 species